rnacentral:rRNA from 1 species
UACGAAGGGUGCAAGCGUUACUCGGAAUUACUGGGCGUAAAGCGUGCGUAGGCGGUUCGUUAAGUCUGUCGUGAAAGCCCUGGGCUCAACCUGGGAAUUGCGAUGGAUACUGGCGAGCUAGAGUACGGUAGAGGAUGGUGGAAUUCCCGGUGUAGCGGUGAAAUGCGUAGAGAUCGGGAGGAGCACCCGUGGCGAAGGCGGCCAUCUGGACCAGUACUGACGCUGAGGCACGAAAGCGUGGGGAGCAAACAGG